UACAGAGGUGGCAAGCGUUGUUCGGAAUUACUGGGCGUAAAGGGCGCGUAGGCGGCCUUGUAAGUCCUGUGUGAAAUCCCCCGGCUCAACUGGGGAACUGCACAGGAGACUGCUUGGCUUGAGUUCGGGAGAGGGAAGCGGAAUUCCGGGUGUAGCGGUGGAAUGCGCAGAUAUCAGGAGGAACACCGGUGGCGAAGGCGGGUCUCUGGGCAGUAACUGACGCUGAGGAGCGAAAGCGUGGGGAGCGAACAGG
rnacentral:rRNA from 1 species